GCGUAUAUUUGGACUUUUCAAAUAUUUAGAGUACGUUGCAAUGCGAACAACCAGCAGCGGCGAAUAUCUACUAAAAUGGCGGGGAAAGCACUCUUAAUCUUCGCUACCAUUUCAGCAUUAAAUAUAGAUGCUCUUCGUGUCUACAACAUGCGCUAUUCAUCUGCUUUGAGUGCAUCCCGGGAAGACAUCUCUACGAUAAUCAAAAAGUAAGAAACUAUACUUUAUUUCUUAUGCUCUAAAAAUGUUUUUGCCUUACGCAAAUCUACAUUCAUGUUUGUUAUAAAAUUCGCGAAUAUCUUUACUCGGAAAAGCGAAUACUGAACUUUAAUAACCGCAUUUAUGGUUGAUUUUGGUCUGCUGCUAAAUAUAGGUGAGAGUCGGUUUCGAAAUUAUAAUUUUAAACGAAAUUGAGUUUUGUUUUUUGGAGGGUAGGUUUAUUUUCGUAAAAUGCACGUGUUAGUGGUAAUUUAAAUAUUAUAAUGAGAAUGUGAAAUGGAAUAAAAGAAUAUGAGAACGGAUGAGACUGAAGAUGAAAAGAUUUUAUUUGUUUCCCUUUUCAAAGAGGAAACAUGUUUUUUUUUUAUGUGGGUU